AGUGAACGCUGGCGGUAGGCCUAACACAUGCAAGUCGAACGGCAGCACAGUAAGAGCUUGCUCUUACGGGUGGCGAGUGGCGGACGGGUGAGGAAUACAUCGGAAUCUACUUUUUCGUGGGGGAUAACGUAGGGAAACUUACGCUAAUACCGCAUACGACCUACGGGUGAAAGCAGGGGAUCUUCGGACCUUGCGCGAUUGAAUGAGCCGAUGUCGGAUUAGCUAGUUGGCGGGGUAAAGGCCCACCAAGGCGACGAUCCGUAGCUGGUCUGAGAGGAUGAUCAGCCACACUGGAACUGAGACACGGUCCAGACUCCUACGGGAGGCAGCAGUGGGGAAUAUUGGACAAUGGGCGAAAGCCUGAUCCAGCCAUACCGCGUGGGUGAAGAAGGCCUUCGGGUUGUAAAGCACUUUUGUUGGGAAAGAAAAGCAGCAGGUUAAUACCCCGCUGUUCUGACGGUACCCAAAGAAUAAGCACCGGCUAACUUCGUG
rnacentral:rRNA from 1 species